CAGCAGCCACGGGAAUACGAAGGGGGCUAGCGUUGUUCGGAAUUACUGGGCGUAAAGCGCACGUAGGCGGACAUUUAAGUCAGGGGUGAAAUCCCGGGGCUCAACCCCGGAACUGCCUUUGAUACUGGGUGUCUAGAGUAUGGAAGAGGUGAGUGGAAUUCCGAGUGUAGAGGUGAAAUUCGUAGAUAUUCGGAGGAACACCAGUGGCGAAGGCGGCUCACUGGUCCAUUACUGACGCUGAGGUGCGAAAGCGUGGGGAGCAAACAGGAUUAGAUACCCCUGUAGUCCCUGUCUCUUAUAA
rnacentral:rRNA from 1 species